ensembl:lncRNA
GGAUGGUGGGGAUUAUCCCCCCCCCUCUGGUUUACACGUCCUACCCUCUGCUGAAUUAUUUUUAUCCUCGGUGGGGAUAAAAAUUAUCCCCCCCACCCAAAGUAUUUUCACCAUUACAUCGUAAUAAUUAACAACCAAAAUACACAGGGUCCGUCUUCAUUUUGAUUGUGCUGUGAUUUUGAUCUACCGGGAGCGAGUCAGAGGCGUCGCGCUCGCAGAAAGCAGUUUUAUUUUGAAAACCAACCGGAUUUACUUGCGUUUCUAUGGUUUCAAAAGUCAACUUCCUGUCCCCGCCGAAACAAAAGUUUAAACCAAAUGGACGAAAAAUGAAAAGAAUACAGAGCAGCAUAUCUUCAUAUUUGAAAGAGCUUGAGUCUGUGGCUUUUGAUUUGGGCAUCCAGGCUCGUAGGAUUGGGUGUUUGAUGUGCGCUGGCUGUCCUCAGCCUGCACGUCAGUGACAGCUCUCUGGGAGAGCUAUCCAGCCUUCCCGGCCCGCAGAUUUGCAGAGAUUUGGUUGAAGCAGGGUCACCACUAUGGCAAGCCGAAUUGACAUUUAUUAACUAAGUUUGACUAUCCGGAAUUUACAUUGUAGAUAUCAACAACUUCAUUCAAGAUAUCUGUUACGUAGUUGUGACUAGUCGAAACGACAGUUAGAGAUAUCUGUGACGUAGUUUUGACUAGUCGAAACGAUAGUUAGAGAUAUCUGUAAUUCAGUUUUGACUAGGCAGAAUGAAAGUUAAAGAUAUCUCAAACGUCAUUUGAGUGUUGGGCAUUACGUUUUAGAUAUCCAGAAAUACGUAAUUUCCCCUUGCCACCACGCUGCUAUCGAUCCGCCAACAGGAAAGCAAAAAAAAGAGGCUGAAGUGCGUCAUCAGAGCGGACUGUUUUCGUAGUCUGACCUAUAGUCUACCCGAUUAACCCAUAAAAAAAAAAAAACGUCUUGACAGCACAUUGUGGUACUUCAUAUUUUCUGUUGAACUGAUAUCGGGAAAAAAAAUAUAUAUUUUUUUAUUUGGCACAUUUAAAAACAAUAUUAGCUAUGAGAAAAUAUUUUUGCAAAUGCAGUGGUUAAGUUCACGUUCAAAAUAGGCCUACCGCCUACGUUAUGAAGCCUAAGUGUAAGGUUUAGAUACACA